UACCUACUCUUCCAGAGAACUUUCCAGAGAUGGAUUGGUGCCUUCGGGAACUCUGAGACAGGUGCUGCAUGGCUGUCGUCAGCUCGUGUUGUGAAAUGUUGGGUUAAGUCCCGCAACGAGCGCAACCCUUAUCCUUUGUUGCCAGCGGUCCGGCCGGGAACUCAAAGGAGACUGCCAGUGAUAAACUGGAGGAAGGUGGGGAUGACGUCAAGUCAUCAUGGCCCUUACGAGUAGGGCUACACACGUGCUACAAUGGCGCAUACAAAGAGAAGCGACCUCGCGAGAGCAAGCGGACCUCAUAAAGUGCGUCGUAGUCCGGAUUGGAGUCUGCAACUCGACUCCAUGAAGUCGGAAUCGCUAGUAAUCGUAGAUCAGAAUGCUACGGUGAAUACGUUCCCGGGCCUUGUACACACCG
rnacentral:rRNA from 2 species